CGCGAGAAGCCGCGAGGCCGCAGCCGGCCCACCCUGGGCUCCGGAGAGGUGCAGCCCCCGGCCCCGGAGCCCUCCCGGGGGCGCCAGGAAGCCACUUUGGGCCUGUCCCCAGGAAAACGUGGUCUCAGCUGUGGGGCCGUCGAGCAGGCCUCGACCCCUCUUCCUGACCUGAGGAGAGGCCCAGCGCCUCACCCUCACCCAGUCUUUGUGCAGGGCGCCGGCGGCCAUUGUGUCCGGGCGGGGAAUGGAGGACCCGGCAAUUCCCCACCGCCACGUUCAGGGCCUUUGGGGAAUUCAAAGAAAACCAGCGGCAUUUGUAGGGGGUCUCCGGCCUUCAACCUCCCAGACAGGCCUGGGGGUGGCCUUCCCAAAGUCAGAUCGGAGAUCCGAGGCAGUUUCCUCCUCCCUGCGUCCCUCACCGAAACCUUGAACCCCAUUGAGAAGUCCCUUCAGGGUUUCGGACGCCUCCACCUCACCCUGGGCUGGUACUUAAAUAGAAAAAAGAAAGGAAAAAAAAAAACCAACUAAAUCCAUACCAGCCACCUCCGGGAGAGUUCUCCUGGCUCCCAGUAGGAGGCGGAGAGCCAAGGGGCGUGCAAGAGCGAGGGGGCUGGGCUCUCGGGUGGCAGGAGGCCGCGGCUGCGGAGCGGCCGCCCUCGAUCCGGGCGAUGGAGGAGGAAGCAAGCGAGGGGGCUGGUUCCUGAGCUUCGCAAUUCCUGUGUCGCCUUCUGGGCUCCCAGCCUGCCAGGUCGCAUGAUCCCUCCGGCCGGAGCUGGGUUUUUUGCCAGCCGCCGCGAGGCCGGCUGAGUUACCGGCAUCCCCGCAGCCACCUCCUCUCCCGACCUGUGAUACAAAAGAUCUUCCGGGGGCUGCACCUGCCUGCCUUUGCCUAAGGCGGAUUUGAAUGUAGGUGGUGCGGGGGAGGGGGAGUGAGGGGGGGACUGCCCAAGGGGUGACUUUCCGAGGAAGGCAUUUCGGAGAAGAGGGGGGUAGAAAAGGCUGGUGGGAGAUUCAGAGUCCACUGGUGCUUUCGAUUUGACUUAAUUGAAGUAUCUUGGAACCUAGACCCAGACCUUCGUAAGACCCACAAAGAAACCAGUUCUGGUACCUGGAGGGGGAAUGGGAUGUUUAGGGUAAGUGGCAUGCAUAUUAAUUUUUUUUUUUCCUAAAGCUCUUUCUCUCCCUUCAGAAUCUUAUCUUGGCUUUGGAUCUUAGAAGAGAAUCACUAACCAGAGACCAGACUCAGUGAGUGAGCAGGUGUUUUGGACAAUGGACUGGUUGAGCCCAUCCCUAUUAUAAAAAUGUCUCAGAGCAACCGGGAGCUGGUGGUUGACUUUCUCUCCUACAAGCUUUCCCAGAAAGGAUACAGCUGGAGUCAGUUUAGUGAUGUGGAAGAGAACAGGACUGAGGCCCCAGAAGGGACUGAAUCGGAGAUGGAGACCCCCAGUGCCAUCAAUGGCAACCCAUCCUGGCACCUGGUGGACAGCCCCGCGGUGAAUGGAGCCACUGGCCACAGCAGCAGUUUGGAUGCCCGGGAGGUGAUCCCCAUGGCAGCAGUAAAGCAAGCGCUGAGGGAGGCAGGCGACGAGUUUGAACUGCGGUACCGGCGGGCGUUCAGUGACCUGACAUCCCAGCUCCACAUCACCCCAGGGACAGCAUAUCAGAGCUUUGAACAGGUAGUGAAUGAACUCUUCCGGGAUGGGGUAAACUGGGGUCGCAUUGUGGCCUUUUUCUCCUUCGGCGGGGCACUGUGCGUGGAAAGCGUAGACAAGGAGAUGCAGGUAUUGGUGAGUCGGAUCGCAGCUUGGAUGGCCACUUACCUGAAUGACCACCUAGAGCCUUGGAUCCAGGAGAACGGCGGCUGGGUGCCAGACACCAGUUUUGGAUUCUGGCUCCACCACUGACACAGAUGGGUGACCUUGAUCUAGUCCUUGGGUCCUUGGCCCUUGGGCACAGCUUCUUGACCUGUAAAUGGGGAGAGACAGCCUGCAUUGCAGAAUUGUUGGGAGGAUUAAAGGACAAAUUGGGACACUUUUGUGGAACUCUAUGGGAACAAUGCAGCAGCCGAGAGCCGAAAGGGCCAGGAGCGCUUCAACCGCUGGUUCCUGACGGGCAUGACUGUGGCCGGCGUGGUUCUGCUGGGCUCACUCUUCAGUCGGAAAUGACCAGACACUGACUAUCCACUCUACCCUCCCACCCUCUGCCCCACCACAUCCUCCGUCCAGCCGCCAUUGCCACCAGGAGAACCACUAUAUGCAGGCCAUGCCCACCUACCCACCACAGGGUUGGGCCCAGAUCUGGUCCCCUGCAGUUAGUUUUCUAGAAUUUAUCACACUUCUGUGAGACCCCCACACCUCAGUUCCCUUGGCCUCAGAAUUCAUAAAAUUUCCACAAAAUCUAUCCCAAGGAGGCUGGCAGGUAUGGAAGGGUUUGUGGCUGGGGGCAGGAGGGCCCUACCUGAUUGGUGCAACCCUUACCCUUUAGCCUCCCUGAAAAUGUUUUUCUGCCAGGGAGCUUGAAAGUUUUCAGAACCUCUUCCCCAGAAAGGAGACUAGAUUGCCUUUGUUUUGAUGUUUGUGGCCUCAGAAUUGAUCAUUCCCCCGCCCCCCCACACUAACCUGGGUUCCCUUUCCUUCCAUCCCUACCCCCUAAGAGCCAUUUAGGGGCCACUUUUGACUAGGGAUUCAGGCUGCUUGGGAUAAAGAUGCAAGGACCAGGACUCCCUCCUCACCUCUGGACUGGCUAGAGUCCUCACUCCCAGUCCACAUGUCCUCCAGAAGCCUCUGGCUAGAGGCCAGCCCCACCCAGGAGGGAGGGGGCUGUAGCUGCAGGAAGCACCCCAUGCCAAUGCUAGGGUGGCCCUUGCAGUUCAGCACCACUCUAGUCCCUUCCCCUCCCUGGCUCCCAUGACCAUGACUGAGGGACCAACUGGGCCCAAGACAGGUGCCCCAGAGCUGUUUAUGGCCUCAGCUGCCUCACUUCCUACAAGAGCAGCCUGUGGCACCACAGGCUUGGGCUGCUCCUCAUGGCGGGUUCAGGGGACUCAGUCCUGAGGUGAAAGGAAGCUAUCAGGAACAGCUAUGAGCCCCAGGCUCUUCCCUACCUCAGGCAGGAAGGGCAGGAAGGAGAGCCUGCUGCAUGGGGUGGGGUAGGGCUGACUAGAAGGGCCAGUCCUGCCUGGCCAGGCACAUCUGUGCCCCACGCCUGUCCAGCCUGGGGAGCCAGGCUACCAAGGUCAGAGUGGCCUGGCCAGGAGCUCUUCAGGCCUCCCUCUCUCUUCUCCACCCUUGGCCUGUCUCAUCCCCAGGGGUCCCAGCCACCCCGGGCGCUCUGCUGUACAUAUUCAAGACUAGUUUUUAUUCCUUGUGAAGAUGAUAUACUAUUUUUGUUAAGCGUGUCUGUAUUUAUGUGUGAGGAGCUGCUGGCUUGCAGUGCGCGUGCACGUGGAGAGCUGGUGCCCGGAGAUUGGACGGCCUGAUGCUCCCUCCCCUGCCCUGGUCCAGGGAAGCUGGCCGAGGGUCCUGGCUCCUGAGGGGCACCUGCCCCUCCCCCAACCCCCACCCCACACUUGUUCCAGCUCUUUGAAAUAGUCUGUGUGAAGGUGAAAGUGCAGUUCAGUAAUAAACUGUGUUUACUCAGUGAA